GGUUCUAAGGUGUAGUGGUCAGCACUCUGGACUCUGAAUCCAGUGGCUUCAGUCCAAAUCUCAACAGAACCU
rfam:Oryzias latipes DNA, chromosome13, strain: Hd-rR.